rnacentral:rRNA from 1 species
UACGUAGGGGGCGAGCGUUGUCCGGAAUUAUUGGGCGUAAAGAGCUCGUAGGCGGCUUGUCACGUCGGGUGUGAAAGCCCGGGGCUUAACCCCGGGUCUGCAUUCGAUACGGGCAGGCUAGAGUGUGGUAGGGGAGAUCGGAAUUCCUGGUGUAGCGGUGAAAUGCGCAGAUAUCAGGAGGAACACCGGUGGCGAAGGCGGAUCUCUGGGCCAUUACUGACGCUGAGGAGCGAAAGCGUGGGGAGCGAACAGG